CGAGUGGAUCACAGAAAGUCUGGCAACAAAAAAGCUGCAAUGGUUACCUCGUCACUGCUUCCAACUCCUCCUCUUUCUCAGCUGGUGCCCGAUCACUGGCAGCGACAGCGUACCCUCAUGAUGCCAAGGUUGGAGACUAUCAAGAAUCAUGACGACACCGGCCCUUCUCUGUACUGCAGGACUGCCCCAGAGUGCUCCAGGCAGCAGAAGCAACAUUGAACUACUCCAGUGGUCUGCACCAUUACAUUUCCUGUGGUACUUUAUGCAGCCCCUCUGAGUGUAUAAUACACACUCCCAUAUGGACCACGUCAUCAAACAAAGGCUCUUGUCACCUCCUCGUUACUUCAAGUUGUUCAAAUGAGGAUGGCAGGGCAGAAUAUUGAAGAAUUAUUACAAAGUCUUCUGUUCAGUAUCCUGCUGCUCUCUGACAAGGAAAACUGAAAUGUACUUGAUUUUCAUGUAAUUUUGAUUCCCAUUACAGGUCCUUAUGGGAACAGGAAAAAUGACAAGCUGGAAAAUUUUGCAAGUAAUCUUUGGGCCAGCCUGGAAUCUUCCCAUCCUCUGGCCAUGACCUUGUGACCCUGCUUGGAGGUUGUAGUUACAGUUUCAGAAGUGAUCAAUUCCAGUGAGGAUGUCUGUACUAAGGUGAAAGCUCACGCACAGUUCUUCACGACGGGAAAAAUGGCUCCAUUCAGACUCUGGAGAUUCAGGACACAAUCAUCGCCUUGGAAGCUUCAUCACGAUACUACUUUGCAUUUCUGAAGAGGGAAGAAGAAUCAAUGUGCAAAUUCAAUUCCAUGGUUUUGGAAGUCCCAUUGAGAACACGAUUCAUUUGCGCCGGCAUAAUGCUCUGACCGAGAAAGAAUUGAAGUUUCCACUUGGAAGAAAGAUUCACAUCAAAUUGACUGGUCAAGGAAAUGGGACACUGACUAACCAUACGAUUAGACUGUUUUGAUGAGAAAUUUAAAGAUUACGUGUCCCAUCCGUUUGACUCACAGUUUGGUACCAUAGGUUGGUACGAUCUUCGUUGGAGAAGGAAAAGGGAUGUUCCAGAUACAGAAAACCGUCAAACCAUUUACAACAAAGUCCAUUUCUGAACCAUACGAUGAGACUGUUUUGAUGAGGAAUUGAAAGAUUAUGUGUCCCAUCCAUUUGACUCACAGUUUGGUACCAUAGGUUGGUACGAUCUUCGUUGGAGAAGGAAAAGGGAUGUUCCAGAUACAGAAAAUCGUCAAACCAUUUACGACAAAGUCCGUUUCUGGGUGGAGUUAGUGGAACCGAAAAAGAUGUCUCCCUCACAGUGUUUGUGACAAAAGAAUUGCAUCGUUCCUUGGCGGCCUUUCAACAGAAUAUUCAGAGAUUUCCCGAGUGGGAAGAAUUAGCACGCUGAGUAUUGUUAUCCCGAUAGUUCUUUCGUAUCAGUCCGUGUGUAUUCCUGGGCGAAUGUGCUCGUGUGGUCUCAGGAGUUGGGGAGGUCACGGCUCUGGGACAGCCGUUUCAUCGCUCUGUGCUGCAGGAAAAAAGCAAUGAAAGUGCCGUUAAUGUUUUGCACGGCGAGCUGCUGCACACUAACCGGUCUCACACCAUUACCGUCACCUUGCCCUUGUGAAGGCAGAUAUGGAUAAGGUUCUCAAAGCUGAUAGAAGAUUGAAACCACUCUAAUCCUGUGACGAUGAACCUACCCCGGAAGAGAGAGCCCAGAGAAUUGCCAAAGCUGUCCGCAAACAGUCAACAGAAGUGAAGGAAAAUUGGGAGCAAUUGAAAACCCGUGCGAGCAACUGGCAGAAACAGGUGGAAAAGGCGUUGGAGAAACUUCAAGAACUGCAGAAAGCGCUGGAUGAUCUUGAGGCUCAUGUGAUAACAGCUGACGGGGUCCACACUGAUUGGCAACCUGUGGGUGACCUGCUUAUUGACUCAUUGCAGGAUCACAUUGAUAAAACCACAGGUAAGGACUAUCUGCAAAAUCUGAGAUUGGGUUUUGAAAGACAGCAGCCUUUGUUUUGGAGAGAUAAUGGGAACUGCAGAUGCUGGAGAACGCGAGAUAACACCGUGUGGAACUGGAUGAAGACAGCAGGCCAAGCAGCAUCUCAGGAGCACAAAAGCUGACGUUU